rfam:Stegodyphus mimosarum contig42519, whole genome shotgun sequence.
GCCUUCGUGGUGUAGUGGCCAGCACGCUCGACGCGUAACCGAGAGGUCCGUGGUUCGAUUCCCGGCGAAGGCG